rnacentral:piRNA from 1 species
UAAGCAGCGCUGAGAUGAUUUGUUGGU